AGGGACCCCAACUGUUUCUUUGGACCUGGGAGAAGAAGGAGACAGGUGUAAUUUUGAAUCAUCUUGAAUCCAUCCAUCAAAUAAAAGACCUUGAGGAUCUUCUAGCUAUGGUGAUAGAAUAACUCGAGUCUUCCUGGUGGACAGCCAGACUGGAGAAUAGAUCACUACCCUUCUCUGACAACUUAAGAUGUCAUCUGGACUCCUGUUUCUAGUUCAUCAAGGAUUCUUCAUGAGAAACUGAUCUUGUUCCCUGCUGUUCUUAACCUUAGGAAACUUAGGGUUAUGCAACUUAUUCAUCAAUACCCAUGUUUGAUGUGUUUGAUGGAGUUGCUGAAGGCUUCACCCAUAGAUCUUCUCUACCCUCAGUCCAAAUGGCAACCUGAGACCUUGAAGAGGCUCUUGGCUCCUUCCUCAGCAGUUUCUAAAUUCCAGGAUAUUUCUGGCAGUCCUUCCACGUGUUUCUCACUUAUCUAAUGAAUGCUGGAAAGAGUCAUUUGAUCCCUAUAAAGAACUUGGGCUUUUGGAGAAAGGUGAACAGGAUAUCUUAGUGGCUUGAAGAUGAAGGGUUUCCUCAUCAUCGGCUCUCUUCCAGUCUGGGUUUUGAGGUGGAGGAGUUAAAGCCUGGAAUUUCCCAGCAACGUCAUUGAAUAACAAAGGAGAAAUUCUUUUCUUUUUCUGUCUUCCUCCAUCCCUUCUUGCUUCCUUUUUGCUACUCCUUACCAUCCUUUUUUGUUUACCUUUCCAGUUAUUCUUUCUCUCCUUUCACAAGGCAACAGCUCACUCACCACAGUGGAAGAAGCCUCAUUGGGAAAAAAAGUAGGAUGAAGACCAUUCUGCUGCUUCCUGCUGGGCCCACCCCCCACUUUUAAACCUCGGACAAGGAGUAUUUUG
rnacentral:lncRNA from 1 species